rnacentral:rRNA from 1 species
GACGUAGGGCGCGAGCGUUGUCCGGAUUUAUUGGGCGUAAAGAGCUCGUAGGCGGCUUGUCGCGUCGACUGUGAAAACCCGCGGCUCAACUGUGGGCUUGCAGUCGAUACGGGCAGGCUGGAGUUCGGUAGGGGAGACUGGAAUUCCUGGUGUAGCGGUGAAAUGCGCAGAUAUCAGGAGGAACACCGAUGGCGAAGGCAGGUCUCUGGGCCACUACUGACGCUGAGAAGCGAAAGCAUGGGGGAGCGAACAGG